rnacentral:rRNA from 1 species
UACGUAGGAUGCAAGCGUUGUUCGGAAUUACUGGGCGUCAAGAGUACGUAGGCGGUUUGAUAAGUCUGCUAUUAAAGACUGGAGCUUAACUCCAGGACUGUAGUGGAAACUGUCAGACUAGAGGACAAUAGAGGAAGUCGGAAUUCUCAGUGUAGCGGUGAAAUGCGUAGAUAUUGGGAAGAACACCAGUGGCGAAAGCGGACUUCUGGGUUGUUACUGACGCUGAGGUACGAAAGCGUGGGGAGCAAACGGG